UCAGUAAUGCCAUACACGGAUCAAAAUCAUCAUAUGGUCAAGUUCCACGUUUUCCAUGUGCAAGUUCAAAAUAUCAAACCAGCUGAACUCCCUUCAUCUGGAAUCUCCUUCGUUGCGCCGGAGGUCGCCUCCGGUGGAGGCGGAGCCUUAACCUCCCAACAAAAUAUAUCAAAUUCUUCAUCUCAUUUCCCUAUUACUAAAUCCAAGGUCCGAUUUCUGAAUAUCUCCAUCACACGUUCAGAUCGAAGCAAAAUUGAUGUGAACCCUAGCCUACCAAAUUAUAGAUUAAAUACUGAGAGGGAGGAAUCAAAUCCUAAUGAGUUAGGGAUUUGAUUCCUCAACUUCAAAGCUAUAUUACUGUAUCAAAGAAAGGAGGAGAAGGAACUUACCUACCAGAGCAACUUCAGCGGUUCUUCCGGUCGCGCAUGAAGGUUUAAGACUUUCCACUUCUUCAGUUAGGGUAAAUGAACUGUUUGCUAUGUUUGUGAAGUGGUUCUAGUUUAUGACUGAACAUUGCUUGACAUAGUUCUGCAGCAGGAAUUCUAAAUUGGCUCAUGGAACAACAUUUCACGCAUGGAGUGUUUCUCGGUUAUGUGGUGAAUUCAAAAAUCAUGAUGAUGCAAGGAUAACUUGCCUCAUCAAAGGUCAUGGUUUCAAGGCAAAAAGGCAUGGAAGCAUACUUGAACUUGGUUCUUGUUUGAAAAAAAUGUGUGAAGAUGCAAAUAGGGAAUGGAGGAGAUUAGGAUUACCAUGAGGCUGAAAAUAGAAUAGGUUAGGACUUAGAAGAUAUGAGUUGACUUUGUUCAACUGGUUGACCAAAAAGUCAACAAUUGACCAAAGUCAACUAUAGGUUAAAAAUCAGAAUUUUGCUUUGUAACUUUUUGUAUAGACAUUGUAACAUGAUUUUAUGUGAAUGAAUGAACAAUUUUGAAUAAAAACGAUGCUUUAAGUUAA